GACGAACGCUGGCGGCGUGCUUAACACAUGCAAGUCGAACGGAAAGGCCAUGCUUUUGUGGGGUGCUCGAGUGGCGAACGGGUGAGUAACGCGUGAGUAACCUGCCCUUGACUUUGGGAUAACUUCAGGAAACUGGGGCUAAUACCGGAUAGGAGCUCCUGCUGCAUGGUGGGGGUUGGAAAGUUUCGGCGGUUGGGGAUGGACUCGCGGCUUAUCAGCUUGUUGGUGGGGUAGUGGCUUACCAAGGCUUUGACGGGUAGCCGGCCUGAGAGGGUGACCGGCCACAUUGGGACUGAGAUACGGCCCAGACUCCUACGGGAGGCAGCAGUGGGGAAUAUUGCACAAUGGGCGGAAGCCUGAUGCAGCAACGCCGCGUGCGGGAUGACGGCCUUCGGGUUGUAAACCGCUUUCGCCUGUGACGAAGCGUGAGUGACGGUAAUGGGUAAAGAAGCACCGGCUAACUACGUG
rnacentral:rRNA from 1 species